rnacentral:rRNA from 1 species
GACGUAGGGCGCAAGCGUUGUCCGGAUUUAUUGGGCGUAAAGAGCUCGUAGGCGGCUUGUUGCGUCGUCCGUGAAAACCCGCAGCUCAACUGCGGGCUUGCGGACGAUACGGGCAGGCUGGAGUUCGGUAGGGGAGACUGGAAUUCCUGGUGUAGCGGUGAAAUGCGCAGAUAUCAGGAGGAACACCGGUGGCGAAGGCGGGUCUCUGGGCCAUAACUGACGCUGAGAAGCGAAAGCAUGGGGAGCGAACAGG